UACGUAGGGGGCAAGCGUUGUCCGGAAUCAUUGGGCGUAAAGAGCGUGUAGGCGGCCCGGUAAGUCCGCUGUGAAAGUCCAGGGCUCAACCCUGGGAUGCCGGUGGAUACUGUCGGGCUCGAGUCCGGAAGAGGAGUGUGGAAUUCCUGGUGUGAGCGGUGAAAUGCGCAGAUAUCAGGAGGAACACCAAUGGCGAAGGCAGCACUCUGGGACGUGACUGACGCUGAGACACGAAAGCGUGGGGAGCAAACAGG
rnacentral:rRNA from 1 species